rnacentral:rRNA from 1 species
UACGAAGGGUGCAAGCGUUAAUCGGAAUUACUGGGCGUAAAGCGCGCGUAGGUGGUUCAGCAAGUUGGAUGUGAAAUCCCCGGGCUCAACCUGGGAACUGCAUCCAAAACUACUGAGCUAGAGUACGGUAGAGGGUGGUGGAAUUUCCUGUGUAGCGGUGAAAUGCGUAGAUAUAGGAAGGAACACCAGUGGCGAAGGCGACCACCUGGACUGAUACGGAAACUGAGGUGAGAAAGCGUGGGGAGCACACAGGCUGAGAUAACAGUGUAGUCC